UACGGGGGGAGCAAGCGUUGUUCGGAUUUACUGGGCGUAAAGGGCGCGUAGGCGGCCACCGCAAGUCGACUGUGAAAUCUCCGGGCUUAACCCGGAAAGGUCAGCCGAUACUGCGGGGCUAGAGUGCAGAAGGGGCAACUGGAAUUCUCGGUGUAGCGGUGAAAUGCGUAGAUAUCUGGAGGAACACCGGUGGCGAAGGCGGCAUCCUGGACCAACACUGACGCUGAGUGAGCGAAAGCCAGGGGAGCAAACGGG
rnacentral:rRNA from 1 species